rnacentral:rRNA from 1 species
GACGAAGGGGGCUAGCGUUGCUCGGAAUGACUGGGCGUAAAGGGCGCGUAGGCGGAUGGCACAGUCAGAUGUGAAAUUCCUGGGCUCAACCUGGGGACUGCGCUUGAGACGUGUGGGCUUGAGUGGGGAAGAGGGUCGUGGAAUUCCCAGUGUAGAGGUGAAAUUCGUAGAUAUUGGGAAGAACACCGGUGGCGAAGGCGGCGACCUGGUCCUUGACUGACGCUGAGGCGCGAAAGCGUGGGGAGCAAACAGG